rnacentral:rRNA from 1 species
ACUCAAAGGAAUUGACGGGGGCCCGCACAAGCGGUGGAGCAUGUGGUUUAAUUCGAUGCAACGCGAAGAACCUUACCAAGGCUUGACAUGGAUUUGACCACCAUAGAGAUAUGGAUUCCCUUCGGGGCAAAUCACACAGGUGGUGCAUGGUUGUCGUCAGCUCGUGUCGUGAGAUGUUGGGUUAAGUCCCGCAACGAGCGCAACCCCUACGUUCAGUUGCCAGCGCGUGAAGGCGGGUACACUGGAGGGACUGCCGUGGAUAACACGGAGGAAGGUGGGGAUGAUGUCAAAUCAUCAUGCCCCUUAUGUCUUGGGCUACACACGUGCUACAAUGGUCUUUAACAGAGUGUUGCGAUGCGGCGACGCAAAGCUAACCACAAAACAGGACCUCAGUUCGGAUUGUAGGCUGCAACCCGCCUGCAUGAAGUCGGAAUCGCUAGUAAUCGCGAAUCAGCAUGUCGCGGUGAAUACGUUCCCGGGCCUUGUACACACCGCCCGU